rnacentral:lncRNA from 1 species
CGGCACCAUGGAGGAGUAUGAAAUCGAUAGAGCUGUGAAUUCCUACACUAACAUCAUAUUCCCAUGUCUAGUCAAGAAGAUGUGUUUGGAAGGUGGUUUACAUAUGUGGAUAACUUCAAAGUGAUUCAUCGUACUAUAAAAUUGAGGAUGAUUCGAGAUUUGAUGAACCCAGUUUCGAGGGCAAAGGUUGCAACUAGUCCUGUGUUACUUCAAAGUGUUUUUUAG